GAUGAACGCUAGCGGCAGGCUUAACACAUGCAAGUCGAGGGGUAUAGUUCUUCGGAGCUAGAGACCGGCGCACGGGUGCGUAACGCGUAUGCAAUCUACCUUUUGCAGAGGGAUAGCCCAGAGAAAUUUGGAUUAAUACCUCAUGGUAUGUGAGAAUGGCAUCAUUUUCACAUUAAAGUCACAACGGCAAAAGAUGAGCAUGCGUCCCAUUAGCUAGUUGGUAAGGUAACGGCUUACCAAGGCAACGAUGGGUAGGGGUGCUGAGAGGGAGAUCCCCUACACUGGUACUGAGACACGGACCAGACUCCUACGGGAGGCAGAAGUGAGGAAUAUUGGACAAUGGGCGCAAGGCUGAUCCAGCCAUGCCGCGUGCAGGAUGACGGUCCUAUGGAUUGUAAACUGCUUUUGUACAGGAAGAAACACUGGUUCGUGAACCAGCUUGACGGUACUGUAAGAAUAAGGAUCGGCUAACUCCGUGCCAGCAGCCGCAGUAACAC
rnacentral:rRNA from 1 species